GUGGAUUAGAUACCCCAGUAGUCCUAGCUGUAAACGAUGUGAACUUGGCGUCGGUGGUGUAAAAACCAUCGGUGCCGAAGCCAACGCGAUAAGUUCACCGCCUGGGGACUACGGCCGCAAGGUUAAAACUCAAAGGAAUUGACGGGACCCCGCACAAGCAGCGGAGCGUGUGGUUUAAUUCGAUGUUACACGAAGAACCUUACCCAGGUUUGACAUGUAGGUGGUAGGGAAGCGAAAGCAGACCGACCCUUCGGGGAGCCUACACAGGUGUUGCACGGCCGUCGACAGCU
rnacentral:rRNA from 1 species